UACGGAGGGGGCGAGCGUUGUCCGAAGUUACUGGGCGUAAAGCGCGCGUAGGCGGGUUGGUAAGUCCGCUGUGAAAGCCCGGAGCUUAACUCCGGAGGGUCGGUGGAUACUGCCAGUCUUGAAGGUGCUAGGGGGAGAUGGAAUUACCGGUGUAGCGGUGAAAUGCGUAGAUAUCGGUAGGAACACCAGUGGCGAAGGCGGUCUCCUGGGGCAUUCUUGACGCUGAGGCGCGAAAGCGUGGGGAGCGAACGGG
rnacentral:rRNA from 1 species